ACGGAGGAAAGGUUUCAGCAGCCUGGUUCCAGCAGCCUCUCGGCUCUAAUAAACCAUCGCCUUUCCUGUAACCAUCCAUGUCCCCGUACAGUUCAUUGUAAAGGGGCAUCGGAACCUGAGAAACCCAGCGCCUCAUCUCCAGACUCAGAUCCCGAUCCGUUCUAUCAGUGUCCACUGACAGCUGUCCUAUGCCCCUGGACCUUCCGCCUCACCACAACGACCGAUCUGAUUGUGUGUAGCCUUUAGUUUUCCUUCUGCCCAGACCUUGAGUGCUGAGAUGGCAGGAACCUUCUUAAUCCCCCACAGCCUGCUCAGUGCCACGAAGGAAGCCUCACACAUUGUCCAUUUGGCAAGGACCUGCUGAAUGAACAAAUGGAUUUAACAGUAUUUGUCAGCUGCAUAGGGUGGGUUUAUCAUUCAUCAAACGCGUCUGCGUCUUGGUCCAUGCUUGUUGAGUAUCCUCUGAGGCUGCCUCCACAGGUUCCAGAGGUGAACCAGUCACCAUACGGCUGCUGAUCUCUCAGCCUGAAAGAAGAGACUGACAUCCCCCAGGUCUUUUGUGAUGAAGGAAGACUCUUAAGGAGUUGAGCCUCUCGAGACUCCUACAGACUCUUACAGAUGUUUGGCAACUCUGUUUCCCUCGGACUGGCCAGCUCUUUCAAUGCAGAGUGCGGGUGCGGGUGCGGGUGCGGGUGCGCUGAGCAUCUCGGCAGGGCCUCCCAGAGCACUGCUGCGCGCUGCCUAGCGGGCCGCGGAGGAUCCCCCCUGCGGUCUCCCGGGGCGCGACCUCCUGUACCUGCACGGGGGACCCGUUUCCCGGCGGCCGCCGGGCGGCAGGAAGCCGGGCAUUGUUCCCUGGCAGAGGCCGGAGGGGAGUUCCCGGUUCGCGCGCACUGGGGAGAAGAGAGCAGCGCCCGCCUGCAACACGCGCUCCGCUGACCCCUGGCAUCCGCUCAGCCCUGAAGCUCGCUCAUGGAUCUAGGCUCCUGUUUCUGCGGCUUCCUGUUCUACCUGUGUUCUACUGUCUCUGGCCCUGACUUGGGAGCUCCAGGCUGAUCUCUGACCUCAGGUUCUGAUUGUUGUCUGCCUUGGCUUUCCAUUCGACCGACCGACUGUGUGACUCUGGCCAAACCUCUUGCCUUUCCUGAGCCAGCAGGAUUCUUCUUCAAACAAGAGCCAACCUGAGAAGCCCAGGAUGGAUUUGUGACUAGCAAAGGUGGAAGGUGGCAAGGAAGGGGCUGAUGCUUGAGUCCCCUGUCCCCUGGUGGUGGCCCUGGACAGUCCUGCAGAUCCCUAGUUUUGAAGAACAUAGUUUGAAAACCCACUUUCUUGAUUUUUUUCCAAAAUAUUUUUUUCCUCCAC
rnacentral:lncRNA from 1 species